AUCGAGAAUUUUGGUCCACUGCUGGCUAGAUUUGAAAUCUAAUGGGUCACACACAAUAAGAACUUGAUCUUGAUCUAAUUAAUUUAAAUUUAUUAUAAAUUUAAUGGGUUAAUUAAAUUGCUAGCACAUGAAUUAACCCGAGUUCCCAAUUGGGUUCAGUGCAAAGGUGUUUGUGCUAACCUAGUCUUGUUGCCUUGACCCAAUGUGAUUGGGUUUGAACCAUUUAAUUAAUUAAUUAAUUUUAUAUAGUUUUAUAAAAGUGUUUCACGUGGAACCAGCCUCCUCCAUGCCAAAAGCCACACCCAAAUAAAUUUUACACACCCC
rnacentral:lncRNA from 1 species